AGCAGCCGCGGUAAUUCCAGCUCCAAUAGCGUAUAUUAAAGUUGUUGCAGUUAAAAAGCUCGUAGUUGAAUUUCGGGAUCAAUACGUCGGUCGUGCUUUCGGGUACGUACUGGCGUCAUUGGUUUCUCCUUUCUGACGAACCAUGAUGUCAUUAAUUUGGUGUUAUGGGGAGUUAGGACUGUUACUUUGAAAAAUUAGAGUGUUUAAAGCAGGCAUUAGCUUGAAUACAUUAGCAUGGAAUAAUGAAAUAGGACGUUCGAUCCUAUUUUGUUGGUUUCUAGGAUCAACGUAAUGAUUAAUAGGGAUAGUUGGGGGCAUUAGUAUUCAAUUGUCAGAGGUGAAAUUCUUGGAUUUAUUGAAGACUAACUACUGCGAAAGCAUUUGCCAAGGAUGUUUUCAUUAAUCAAGAACGAAAGUUAGGGGAUCGAAGACGAUCAGAUACCGUCGUAGUCUUAACCAUAAACUAUGCCGACUAGGGAUCGGAUGAUGUUAAUUUUUAAUGACUCAUUCGGCGCCUUAC
rnacentral:rRNA from 1 species